rnacentral:rRNA from 1 species
GAUGAACGCUGGCGGCGUGCCUAAUACAUGCAAGUCGAGCGAACAGACGAGGAUCUUGCUCCUCUUACGUUAGCGGCGGACGGGUGAGUAACACGUGGAUAACCUACCUAUAAGACUGGGAUCACUUCGGGAAACCGGAGCUAAUACCGGAUAAUAUAUUGAACCGCAUGGUUCAUUAGUGAAAGCCGGUUUAGCUGUCACUUAUAGAUGGAUCCGCGCCGCAUUAGCUAGUUGGUAAGGUAACGGCUUACCAAGGCGACGAUGCGUAGCCGACCUGAGAGGGUGAUCAGCCACACUGGAACUGAGACACGGUCCAGACUCCUACGGGAGGCAGCAGUAGGGAAUCUUCCGCAAUGGGCGAAAGCCUGACGGAGCAACGCCGCGUGAGUGAUGAAGGUCUUCGGAUCGUAAAACUCUGUUAUUAGGGAAGAACAAAUGUGUGAGUAACUAUGCACGUCUUGACGGUACCUAAUCAGAAAGCCACGGCUAACUACGUG